rnacentral:rRNA from 1 species
ACUCCUACGGGAGGCAGCAGUGGGGAAUCUUGCGCAAUGGGCGAAAGCCUGACGCAGCCAUGCCGCGUGAAUGAUGAAGGUCUUAGGAUUGUAAAAUUCUUUCACCGGGGACGAUAAUGACGGUACCCGGAGAAGAAGCCCCGGCUAACUUCGUGCCAGCAGCCGCGGUAAUACGAAGGGGCUAGCGUUGCUCGGAAUUACUGGGCGUAAAGGGAGCGUAGGCGGACAUUUAAGUCAGGGGUGAAAUCCCGGGGCUCAACCUCGGAAUUGCCUUUGAUACUGGGUGUCUUGAGUGUGAGAGAGGUAUGUGGAACUCCGAGUGUAGAGGUGAAAUUCGUAGAUAUUCGGAAGAACACCAGUGGCGAAGGCGACAUACUGGCUCAUUACUGACGCUGAGGCUCGAAAGCGUGGGAGCAAACAGGAUUAGAUACCCUGGUAGCGACUGA